rnacentral:rRNA from 1 species
UGAAAUCAAUUUUUACUUUAAUUAGACAUGCAAGUCUCAGCACCCCCGUGAAAACGCCCUUAAAUUCCCAAUAGGAAAAAGGAGCUGGUAUCAGGCACAAUAAUUAGCCCAAGACACCUAGCUUAGCCACACCCACAAGGGAUAUCAGCAGUAAUCAACAUUGAACAUAAGCGACAGCUUGAUUCAGUAAAAGUAAACAGGGCGGGCAAAUCUGGUGCCAGCCGCCGCGGUUAUACCAUGUGGCCCAAAUUGAUUUCUUUCGGCGUAAAGAGUGAUUUAAGCACUAUCACACUGUAGUUGAACUAUUAUUUAGUUGUAAUAAGCUUAUAUUUAGGAAAUUCAUAAACGAAAGUUACUACACUCAAAACAACU